AGGGCAUUUGGUCUUAUGAUUCACAGAGUAUUAAGCGUAGGCUCUAGUAUCCAGCUGAAAGUGAUAACCUUUAGGCCCUAAUAAUAACCAUUGAACAAAGAGGAACUAUAAAGCAGAAUGUGUCAGCAACAAUGAUAUGGAAAGAGCAAGUACUUACCCACUUGCCGCUGAAUCUCAUUAGCUAUUAGGUUCUCCAAACAGCUCACAUAACAAUUGGAUUCUAUUACAUAAAUGUGCGCCAAGAAAGCUGGUUUAGGAAUUUCGUCGAACAUGUGGUGGGCGUAUCUCAUGAAGGACCAUAUCAAUCGAAUAACGACUGAAUCCGAUGAAAAAAACGCUCACAUCCGUUCCGACGAGACGAACGUGAAUCCGGAUCCCCGUCGUAGAAUUGUGCUGUAACGCAUAACGAUGACGAACGAGAGGUAGAGUGACAUGCAAAGGAUUUUUCAAAUCUUUUUUUUUUUGUGCAACGAAACAAGAAGGCAAAAGCACGAAUUUAUCUCCUAAUUUUUAUGAAACGAAGC